rnacentral:lncRNA from 13 species
UAGUGGCGCUGCAUACAGUAAGUGUUGCUCUCCACUUUCUGGAGGAUCAAGUUUUGAAAUCAGUGGAAUUAGAGUAUGAUAGCUAUAGAGAUGGAGAAAACACCUGUCUCCGGAUUACAUCUUCAAACUAAGUGCAACCAUGGCAUGGCAUUCCUGACAGGGAGACGUGUACUUCAAGCAUGCUGAUGUAUACAGGAAACCUGUUUGAUCACCACGCACUGCAAAAUCAUUCUGGCUAUGGAUACGGAGAACAUCAACACAUUAACAUCAACAUACCAGAGGAUAUACCCAUUGGACUUGUGGCUCUGCUGGGAGUUUACCUCAUAUUUGAAUUUUGAAUUCUGCUUUGCAACUAAAAUCACAAUAAACACUGAGAACUAAAAUAUUGUGUUAUUGUUGUUAUUGUUAUUAUUGUUAUGUGUAUGAUUAUUAACAAUAAUAAUAGGGGAGAGGGGGUCAGUUAAAAAAUGUACCCCAAAAGGUUCUUCAAAAUGUUCUUCAAGGAUCCAUUAAAAGGGGUUCUUCAUUUAAAGGGUUCUUCAAAGAACAUAUAGGGGUUUGCCACAGUUUCAAUUUCAAGAACCCUUAAAGGAUACUCCAGGAACCUUUUCAUUUUAGAGUGUGGGCCAGCUGAAAACCGAUAAACAGACUAGGAUACUAAGCUAGGAUGUUGAGACGACAUCUUCUGAGCAGUCAAGGGGUAUGGUUGGUUUGUCUGCUGGGAAAGUUGUGGCCCUUCAAACCAUCAUACACCAUCGACUUUUAACGAUGCUAUGAUUUCUCUUUCAGAGAUUCCUGCUUUGUUUUUUUGUUUUUUUUUGUUUAGAGGUACAUUUCCCUGAAAUCUGGAAACUGCCUCACCAACAUUCAUCCUUGCUUGCCCAUUUAAAAACAAUUACACCAUCUCAAUACCACUACAAAAUAACAAGCAUCGCUUUAUUUUGUUUUCUACCCCUG